rnacentral:rRNA from 1 species
AUGAUCUUAGGGGUGGAUUGGCUGAGGAAACAUAACCCUUUACAAAUGGAUUUCAUCUUAAUGGAAAUACGGAUUACAACACCAAAGAAGACACUAGUGACCUUUGUGGAUGAGACUGUACCCUGGGAAAGACCUCCUGAGAUUGUAGACACUGCUGAUAAGGUCAUGGACCAAGCUGUUUGUGGUUUCUUCUUGUUUACUACUGCCUGCUCUGAACCAAUUGCAGCAGCCCAGCAAGUACCUCAAGAGCUCCAACCAGUACUCCAGAAAUAUGAGAAAAUCUUCUCUUCCCCUACUGGCUUACCCCCUAGCAGGCCCUGUGAUCAUAGAAUUCCAUUGGUUGAAGGAACAAAGGUUGUAAACCAGAGACCUUACAGAGUUCCUCACCACCAAAAAGAGGUACUUGAGAAAAUCAUCCAGGACCUCCUAAAAGCUGGCCUCAUUAGGCCCAGGUACCAGCCCAUUUUCUUCUCCUCUUCUCUUAGUGAAAAAGAAGGAUGGUUCAUGGAGACUAUGCAUUGA